GACGAACGCUGGCGGCGUGCCUAAUACAUGCAAGUAGAACGCUGAAGCGAGGAGCUUGCUCUUCUUGGAUGAGUUGCGAACGGGUGAGUAACGCGUAGGUAACCUGCCUUGUAGCGGGGGAUAACUAUUGGAAACGAUAGCUAAUACCGCAUAACAAUGGAUGACACAUGUCAUUUAUUUGAAAGGGGCAAUUGCUCCACUACAAGAUGGACCUGCGUUGUAUUAGCUAGUAGGUGAGGUAAUGGCUCACCUAGGCGACGAUACAUAGCCGACCUGAGAGGGUGAUCGGCCACACUGGGACUGAGACACGGCCCAGACUCCUACGGGAGGCAGCAGUAGGGAAUCUUCGGCAAUGGGGGCAACCCUGACCGAGCAACGCCGCGUGAGUGAAGAAGGGUGUCGGAUCGUAAAGCUCUGUUGUAAGUCAAGAACGGGUGUGAGAGUGGAAAGUUCACACUGUGACGGUAGCUUACCAGAAAGGGACGGCUAACUACGUG
rnacentral:rRNA from 1 species